rnacentral:misc_RNA from 1 species
CUCCAGUCCUCUACGAAAGUAGAGCUUGUGAGAGCGAAAGCUCGAAACUGGAG